rnacentral:snRNA from 1 species
GAGUUUGAGGCCAGUUGGGCACUACAGAGUUAGUGACAGGUCAGCCCACGCUAGAGUGAGACCCUACUUUGAAAAAAAAAAUGAGCUGGCUGGCUAGGUGAAUAUCUCCUUCGUCUCUCAUCCUCUCAUGUGCAUCCGUCCCUAAACUGUGCAUUCAGUCAAAGAGGAUGACUUUCUCCAUAAAGGAAGAUUAGUCCUUGGUCAAGGGUACACUUUCCUGCUAGAACCUUCAAACAAAUGCUCAAGAAUUAUGCUCUAGGCUUGGUGACCUUAUGAAUAACUACUUCUAUUGCUCUCCCCCAAGGGACUUGGUUUUUAUU